AGCAGUGUGGCUCAGUGGCAAGAGCCCGGGCUUGGGAGUCAGAGGUCAUGGGUUCGAAUCCCGGCUCUGCCA
rnacentral:tRNA from 1 species